AAAUUGAAGAGUUUGAUCAUGGCUCAGAUUGAACGCUGGCGGCAGGCCUAACACAUGCAAGUCGAACGGUAACAGGAAACAGCUUGCUGUUUCGAUGACGAGUGGCGGACGGGUGAGUAAUGUCUGGGAAACUGCCUGAUGGAGGGGGAUAACUACUGGAAACGGUAGCUAAUACCGCAUAACGUCGCAAGACCAAAGAGGGGGACCUUCGGGCCUCUUGCCAUCGGAUGUGCCCAGAUGGGAUUAGCUAGUAGGUGGGGUAACGGCUCACCUAGGCGACGAUCCCUAGCUGGUCUGAGAGGAUGACCAGCCACACUGGAACUGAGACACGGUCCAGACUCCUACGGGAGGCAGCAGUGGGGAAUAUUGCACAAUGGGCGCAAGCCUGAUGCAGCCAUGC
rnacentral:rRNA from 1 species